rnacentral:misc_RNA from 1 species
AACCUAGCACACCUGCGGUGUGUACCUGCGGAGGGAUCAUUAUUGAUAAAGGAUGUGCUGGCAUUGAAUAAUUUCUCAAUGCAAAAAAUAAUGUGCACUCCAAAUCUUCCAUUUCACCACCGUGCAUCCAUGAGGAUACUUGUAGAGUCUUGUUCAAAAACUCUUAAAAGAGUCCUCUUCCAUAACUUGCAACCCUUGCUCUAAAAUUAUUUUUGGACAUUGUAUUGUAACUGAAACAAC